CAAAAUCGAAAAUUUCAUAUAUAGGUAUACCUAUAGCAUCAAUUCCACAACCAAGUAACACAAAACAAAACAAGCAUAUAAAACAUACAUGGUAGAAAAUCAAUCCUGAAUUUUAAAGGUGAGAUACCUGCAGAGUAGAAAACAUACAAAUAUUGUGCUUGUAUGAUCUCCUCGACCUCCCAAAUAGCUUGUCUUUUUUCUUUACCGUGAUGUCCGGACCAGUUUGCGUGCACCUCGACUAAUUUCAGGAGAUACCUGUUAUCACCUCCCAAAUAGCUUCUUUAUCUCGAGUGGUUCCUCCAAACGACCUUUACUGAGGAGAUUUCAUUGGAACACAACUUCCUCAUUGUCUAUCAGUAAUGGCAAUCGGUUCUUCCCCAUACAACAUAAUCUCAUUUAGUUGUACAGUUUGCGUCAAAAUAAGAUGAGACGGUCAGACGGAUCCAGUUUGUACUUUUCUAACAUGAUAACAUGAAAUACUAAGUGAAGAUAGUUUGGGUGAGAGUCGCAAGAAAAUAAUAAAGCAAAUAGUCAGUAACUAGAAUUAUGUAAAAAGUACUAGUAGUAGGAUAAUAAAAGGGUAGUUCGGUGCACUAAGCUUCCACUAUGCGCAAGAUUAGAGCCGGACCAUAAGGGUCCAAGGACCAAAUAAUAAUUUAGUAACAACAGGAAAGUUUGUCAUAAUUUCUUUACAAAACUGGCCAAUCCUUGCUGGUCAUUAAAUUAGGUACCUUACAAUAUAUUGAUUGUUUUGGUGAGUUGAUAAAUUCAUAAGCACAAACUAAAAUUUCAUCAACUGUGUUCCGUCUAGCUAGCUAGUUAGUGCAUCUAAUUUUAGUUUGCUUAAAGCUAGUUAGUGUUCCGUCUAGCUAAUUAAGCUUGUGGGCAGUAUGCCUUCUUUUAAAUAUGCACUGGUUUACAGGUAUGAGACUAUAGUGAAUGAAAGUGUUAAAAAGAGGAUGAAGUAAAUCUAAAAUCACAUGAAAUAAAAUUGUCUCGAUCUUUUUCACUUUUUCAGAUCCAUGUAGAGUUAACAAAAGAUAGAAAAACAUCUAUAUAUACAAUUAGGGGUGUUCAUAAAAUCCGAAAAAUCGAACCAAAUCAAAAAUCGACCCAAACCGACCAAAAAAACAGAUAUUUUUUAGGUUUGGUUUGGUUUUGAUUUUGAAUUUUAAAAAUCGAUCAAAUUUGGUUUGAUUUUGGUUUUAAUCAAAAAAAUAACCGAAAAAAUCGAACCAAACCGACUAUAAAAGUAGCCAUUUAAAUUUAUUAUUACACACACAUGUAUAUUUUUAUAUAAAGUUUUUAAAAUUUAUGGUACAUAUUAGUCAUUUGUAUUUUUAGUCUAAUUCUUUGCUAUUAUAAUAAUCUAAUUCUUUGCCUUUACAUUCUAGUUUGAUUGGUAAUUUUUUUUUGCUAAGUACGAGAGUUUAUUUCAUGCUAAAAAUAAUCGAUUUUUAAUUGAGUACUUCAAUUAUUCAUCACUAUUUGAUUAAAUUAUCAUCAAUAUAUCUUGGUAAAUGAUAGAUUUUUCAAAGAGCAAUUGAUUUAAUAGUGUUACGUUGAAAAUAUAGUCCCAGAAUAUGCGUUUGGUAGUGUAUGUCUCAUAUUUAAGAAAAAAAUCGAUAAAUAACCGAAAAACCGACAAAAAACGAAUCAAUAAAAACCCGAAUUAAUUGGUUUGGUUUUGUUCCAAUAUUUAAAAAGCCAACUUACUUAUUUGAUUUCUUUUUAUGGAAAAACUGACCCAAACUGAACUAUCAACAACCUUGUCUACAAUAGAUAUUAAUAGAGAAUAUGUUUUAGACAUUAACACUCUUACUGUUUUUAGGAGUGAUUAAGCCUUUUUAGAGGUUUAAAUUUUUAGAAAAAAUAUACAGAAUGCUUUCUAGGAUUAAUUUAGCCAUUCAGAGAUUUCUAUCUUUAAAAAAAAAAUACACGGAACUUCUAAAACUUUUUAGUUGUAUUUGCAUAAUAUUUACAUGAGAUUAGUUUAAACAGAGUAAUAUGGUCAGUAAAAAUCCAUACACUGAAUAUCCAAACACGCUUAUUUUUUUGCACUGUUGGAGUAAAUUCAAGAGAGAAGAGAGACUUACAGAGCUUAGGUCGUCGGCGAUGUUGAUCGAUUGUGUCGGCGAAUCGCGGUUCAGGCGCACUGCCAAAAAAGAAGAAGUUAUAAUUAAAGAGAAAAAAGAUAAAAUAAAGAAUAUUCAGUGCACGCCUAAUUAAUU
rnacentral:lncRNA from 1 species